GGUGGGGAGCAUCGACUCCCCAAUCUGGUGGCACCUGGACCCGGGGGCACAGCAGGUGCUCAGGAGGGCCGGUGAGGGCUCCCGGACCAGGCGGCCCCCGCCCCGUGGGAGAUGGGAGAUUAGAGUCAGUGGAAGGACACCCCCGGGGGCCCCCCGGGAGGGAGGCAGCCCAGAGCCACAGGAGGGAAGGUUUGGGGGUCCUGGGCGGCUCCUGGCAAGGCCUGGCAGGACACAGAGCCCGAGCCCUCCUGGGUUGGAGCUUCCCAGAGCGACAGUGUGUGCAGUGAGGGCAAUGACAGGCCAGACGCCCCCCGUCCCCCCUUUCCUGCCGGUGGACUCAAGGGGCAGGUGGGCAGGGACCAGGCUGAGGAGGGAGCCCCGCUUCUCCAGGAGAGAAGCUGAUGGUCACCCCGCUGGGCCUGGGCUCCCCACACAGAGGCUGCAUCCCAGCCCCUCCUCGGGGAGCAGGCCUGUGGCAGGCAGGACCCCAGGUGGCAGGGGCACGAGGAGCAGGACUGGCCUCCGACACCCCGCGCGGGAAGCCGGGCCCCGGGUCCUGCAGGGCUUCCCCGGGACACCUGCAUGUGACAGAGCCCUGUCUUCUGACGCCUGUGCCCGCCUGUCCCUCCCCAGGGCCAUCUCCUUCAUGAUGGAAAUAUGGUUGAAUUAUUAUGGGGACGACUUUCAUCAGUUCCCAGAAUUUCCCUCCCUUAUAAAACUCCUCCAAAUACUAAGACAGCACAUGCCAGGCACAGAUGCGCAUCUCCGGGCCCUGCGUCACCUGAGGCAAUUCAGACGCCUCCAUGCAGCGGAGCGAGAGGCUGGGGCUUUGGCCCGAGGAAAACACCCUGAACCCACUCUGGAGGCACCCCAGCUCCAAACCCUGGGGCCUGCUGCCCCGUGGGGCCUGGCUGCUGGGGCUGAGGGCUUGGCCUGCGAUGAGCCGCCUGCUGGGGAGGCAAAGCCCCUGCAGAUAGUGGUCACUGCUGCCCUGCAGGAGUCCCCUGCACCCCUGGGAGCCCUGGAGGAGGAGCAGGCGCCACCCCCUGCUCUCGAGGUCGUGGAUGUGCCCCAGCCACCCCUAACUCGAUGGAGCAACUGGCCUCGGGGAUGGAGCAACCCGUUAAACCACCCGAAGAGCCCGCCCCAGCUCCCACUGUGGAGCCUGGGGAAGGUUCAGGGUCUGAAGGGAUAGUGGCUGCUGGAGAUGAGGACUUGGUCAAGGCAGAGAUGCUGGUUCCUGAGGUGAAGGUGGUGCACGUGUUUGGGCGAACCUAUGGUUCCCCGCCCCCAUGAGGAGGAGCCACCUGCUCCCAUGGCCACCCCGGAGGAGUAGGCCCUGGUGCCUGCAAUCGGGGUCCCCAGAGGGCCAGACCUGCAACCUGCCUCCGGAACAACCUGCUUUGACCCGUUAGCAGGGCCCCCCGACCACCUCGGGAGCCCGCCCCAGCUCCCACCCGGGGCUCGUGAUGGCUGCAGCCCAACAGGGGCUUGCCCUCCCCUGUUAUUUC
rnacentral:lncRNA from 1 species